CCAGGAGAGAAAAGACCCCCCUGUGCCCCCCCCCCGGCCCCCCUUUCCCGGGCUUUGUUUGCGGGCAGGGAUCGGGUUUCUGCCGGGAACAAUGCCUGGAGCCGCCUCCACCCAGCUCCGGCCCCAGUGACACCAGGAGCCGCCGAGGGAGCGCCGGGAGCCGGAGCCAGAUGCAAACGAGGAGGAGAACUCCCAUUUUUAACAGCCAGGUGAUUCUGGAGCGUCAGAACAAACCCUGCCCAGGGGGAGCCGAGGGGUUUUUUUGCCCUCUCCCGACGUCUUUCAAGCCCAGACUGGAUGAUGGUUCCUGGGGAUGGGGCCGGUUCAAAGCACGGGGAGCUCGGAAAAGCCGCUGCCUUUGAGUCCCCAACCUCAAACACCCACUGGCUUUUUGUAUUCAAAUGCUCUGCCCCGAAAAAAUAAUAUAAAAUAAUAAAAGAAUAGAU